AAUAAAAGAAGUGAGGAAAGAGGUUGUAAUUUUUAGCCCUAGCUCUGCUCCAACACAUAUUGGCGGGAACUUCACCGGCAAAACUCAGCCCUCAACUUUCCUCUUCUCACCGACUAAAUCCACUCUCAAACUCUCCAAAUUUUACUUCUUCGGUACCGAUAAUGGGGAAGGACGACGAAGAGAUGCGUGGAGAAAUGGAGGAGAGACUGAUAAACGAGGAGUACAAGAUUUGGAAGAAGAAUACUCCAUUUCUCUACGAUUUGGUUAUUACUCAUGCCCUAGAGUGGCCUUCACUCACUGUAGAAUGGUUGCCUGACCGGGAGGAGCCUCCUGGCAAGGAUUACUCCGUUCAGAAGAUGAUUUUGGGGACUCAUACCUCCGAGAAUGAGCCCAAUUAUCUCAUGCUCGCUCAGGUUCAGCUUCCGCUUGAGGAUUCAGAGAACGAUGCGCGUCAUUACGAUGAUGACCGUGCUGAUGCGGGUGGCUUCGGGUGUGCCAACGGCAAGGUACAAAUAAUCCAGCAAAUAAAUCACGAUGGCGAAGUCAAUAGAGCCCGUUACAUGCCUCAAAAUCCAUUUAUAAUUGCUACAAAGACUGUCAGUGCCGAAGUUUUUGUUUUUGACUAUAGUAAACAUCCAUCCAAACCACCUCUAGAUGGUACAUGCAAUCCCGAUUUGAGAUUGAGGGGUCACAAUACCGAAGGUUAUGGUUUAUCGUGGAGUAAGUUCAAGCAGGGCCAUUUACUAAGUGGUUCUGAUGAUGCACAGAUUUGUUUAUGGGACAUUAAUGCUACUCCCAAGAACAAAACCCUUGAGGCUAUGCAAAUUUUUAAGGUUCAUGAAGGUGUUGUGGAAGAUGUUGCAUGGCAUCUUAGGCAUGAAUACUUGUUUGGUUCAGUAGGUGAUGACCAAUACCUACUCGUAUGGGAUUUGCGAACUCCUUCAGCUAAUAAGCCUGUACAGUCUGUAGUUGCCCAUCAAAGUGAGGUUAAUUGCUUGGCAUUCAAUCCCUUCAAUGAGUGGGUUGUAGCCACGGGGUCAACUGAUAAGACGGUUAAGUUGUUUGAUCUACGUAAGAUCAGCACUGCACUCCAUACCUUUGACUGUCACAAAGAGGAGGUUUUCCAGGUUGGUUGGAAUCCAAAGAAUGAAACGAUCUUAGCUUCUUGUUGUCUUGGUAGGAGGCUCAUGGUUUGGGACCUUAGCAGGAUUGAUGAGGAGCAGACACCAGAGGAUGCAGAAGAUGGGCCGCCGGAAUUGCUGUUCAUUCACGGUGGUCAUACGAGUAAAAUAUCAGACUUUUCUUGGAACCCAUGCGAGGACUGGGUGGUUGCCAGUGUAGCUGAAGAUAACAUACUACAAAUCUGGCAGAUGGCUGAGAACAUCUACCAUGAUGAAGAUGAUUUGCCUGAGGAGCCUCCAAAGGCCUCUUAAUGUUUUGUUCUCUGUAUUUUAAGUAGUACUUCAAACUAUUAAAAUCUUUCAAGUUCUAAAUAUGAAGAGGCUUUUGAGGCUUUGGAUUGUGGUGAUUCACACCAUGGCCAUGGAUACGGUUGGUUAAGGAGAAACGUUGUAGAGUUCGGCGGGAUCGCGUGGAGGCUGCUUGUGUUGGAAGAGAAGAUUAAUAGUGUUGGAUGAGCAAUAGUGUGAGAGGAUGUGUUGUAGGUGUGUACUUCCUAAAACUUUAGUUCAGUGCCUUAAGUAGUAUACUUGUUCAUUAUUAGGGUUUAUAAUGAUUCACUAUUCACUAUUCACUACUAACUAUUAUGGGAUCAAGAGGCCUUGCAAAGGUAAUUUGUUUAACAACUUUAUUCUUCAACCUUC